rnacentral:rRNA from 1 species
GACGAACGCUGGCGGCGUGCUUAACACAUGCAAGUCGAGCGGUAAGGCCCUUUCGGGGGUACACGAGCGGCGAACGGGUGAGUAACACGUGGGUGACCUGCCCUCAGCUCUGGGAUAAGCCUGGGAAACUGGGUCUAAUACUGGAUAUGACUCCACGGUGCAUGUCGUGGGGUGGAAAGCCUUGUGCGGCUGAGGAUGGGCCCGCGGCCUAUCAACUUGUUGGUGGGGUGANGGCCUACCAAGGCGACGACGGGUAGCCGGCCUGAGAGGGCGACCGGCCACACUGGGACUGAGACACGGCCCGGACUCCUACGGGAGGCAGCAGUGGGGAAUCUUGCGCAAUGGGCGAAAGCCUGACGCAGCGACGCCGCGUGAGGGAUGACGGCCUGGUU